rnacentral:tRNA from 5941 species
UGGGGUAUCGCCAAGCGGUAAGGCACCGGUUUUUGAUACCGGCAUUCCCUGGUUCGAAUCCAGGUACCCCAGCCA